rnacentral:miRNA from 1 species
UUUAACCAUGUUGAUCGCGGACG